AAUUUUUUAUGGAGAGUUUGAUCCUGGCUCAGGAUGAACGCUGGCGGCGUGCCUAAUACAUGCAAGUCGA
rnacentral:rRNA from 2 species